GAGUAACGCGUGGGUAACCUACCCUGUACACACGGAUAACAUACCGAAAGGUAUGCUAAUACGGGAUAAUAUAUUUGAGAGGCAUCUCUUGAAUAUCAAAGGUGAGCCAGUACAGGAUGGACCCGCGUCUGAUUAGCUAGUUGGUAAGGUAACGGCUUACCAAGGCGACGAUCAGUAGCCGACCUGAGAGGGUGAUCGGCCACAUUGGAACUGAGACACGGUCCAAACUCCUACGGGAGGCAGCAGUGGGGAAUAUUGCACAAUGGGCGAAAGCCUGAUGCAGCAACGCCGCGUGAGUGAUGAAGGCCUUCGGGUCGUAAAACUCUGUCCUCAAGGAAGAUAAUGACGGUACUUGAGGAGGAAGCCCCGGCUAACUACGUGCCAGCAGCCGCGGUAAUACGUAGGGGGCUAGCGUUAUCCGGAUUUACUGGGCGUAAAGGGUGCGUAGGCGGUCUUUCAAGUCAGGAGUGAAAGGCUACGGCUCAACCGUAGUAAGCUCUUGAAACUGGGAGACUUGAGUGCAGGAGAGGAGAGUGGAAUUCCUAGUGUAGCGGUGAAAUGCGUAGAUAUUAGGAGGAACACCAGUUGCGAAGGCGGCUCUCUGGACUGUAACUGACGCUGAGGCACGAAAGCGUGGGGAGCAAACAGGAUUAGAU
rnacentral:rRNA from 1 species